AAAUUGAAGAGUUUGAUCAUGGCUCAGAUUGAACGCUGGCGGCAGGCCUAACACAUGCAAGUCGAACGGUAACAGAAAGCAGCUUGCUGCUUUGCUGACGAGUGGCGGACGGGUGAGUAAUGUCUGGGAAACUGCCUGAUGGAGGGGGAUAACUACUGGAAACGGUAGCUAAUACCGCAUAACGUCGCAAGACCAAAGAGGGGGA
rnacentral:rRNA from 1 species